rnacentral:lncRNA from 1 species
UGAAGAUGGGUGCUGCAAGCCAAAGUUAUCCUCCACCUCUCCAGAGGUGGGGAAAGGCAAGGAAACAGACUCUUUCUUCACCCUCCAGAAGAAAUGCAGCCUGCUAACAUCUUGACUUUAGCUCCUGGGAAAGACCUAGUUCAGAGUUCCAGUAUAAAUAACCAUAAGAUAAUAAAUACAUUUUAUUUCAUUUUUACUUGUUCUACUUAGUUUUACAUGACAGCAAAAAGCAUUUCAACUCAUUAUACACAAAUGGAGCACAACAUUUCAAUUCUCUAUUUGUAUGCGAUACAAAGAUGCACCAUUCGUGCAAUCAUACAUGUACCUAAGGUAAUGAUGUCCAUUUCAUUCCACCAUCUUUCCUAUCCCCAUGACCCUUCCAAAUCCAAAGUUCCUCCAUUCUUCCCAUGUCCCCCAUAAAUACAUUUUAUUUUAAACCAAGUUUGUAAUAAUUCAUUAGAGCAGCAACAGAAAGCUAAUACUUAACCAAUGGAUUUGCUAAUUUAGUCAGAUUGUCAGUCAAUAAUUAUCUCUAUAAAGAAAAAACAGGGAAGACAUGACUCAUGGUCUGGAGAAACAAACAUAUUAACAAC